GGUUUGAUCAUGGCUCAGAUUGAACGCUGGCAGGAUGUACCCGCCACAAAGUCGAACGGCAGCACGGACUUCGGUCUGGUGGCGAGUGGCGAACGGGUGAGUAAUGUAUCCGGAACGUGCCUAGUAGCGGGGGAUAACUACGCGAAAGCGUAGCCUAAUGCUACAUGCAACCGCUCGGGGAAAGCGGGGGACCUUCGGGCCUCGCACUAUUAGAGCGGCCGAUAUCGGAUUAGCUAGUUGGUGGGAGUAACGGCUCACCAAGGCGACGAUCCGUAGCUGGUUUGAGAGGACGACCAACCACACUGGGACUGAGACACGGCCAGACUCCCCUGCGGAGGCAGCAGUGGGGAAUUUUGGACAAUGGAAACCCUGAUCAACUGCAUCCGUGCGAUGAAGGCCUUCGGGUUGUAAAGCACUUUUGGCAGAAAGAAACGGCACGGGAUACCCCGUGCAACUGACGGUACCUGCAGAAUAAGCACCGGCUAACUACGUGCCAGCAGCCGCGGUAAUACGUAGGGUGCAAGCGUUAAUCGGAAUUACUGGGCGUAAAGCGUGCGCAGGCGGUUCGGAAGAAGAUGCUUGAAAUCCCAGAGCUUAACUUUGGAACUGCAUUUUUUAACUUCCGAGCUAGAGUGUGUCAGAGGGAGGUGGGAAUUCCGCGUGUAGCAGUGAAAUGCGUAGAUAUGCGGAGGAACACCGAUGGCGAAGGCAACCUCCUGGAAUAACACUGACCAGCGCUCAUGCGAAAGCGUGGGGAACAAACAGGAUUAGAUACCCUGUUAGUCCGCCCUAAACGAUGUCAACUGACUGUUGGGGCCUUCGGGCCUUACGGUAGCGCAGCUAACGCGUGAAGUUGACCGCCUGGGACAGUCACCAAGAUUAAAACUCAAAGGAAUUGACGGGGACCCGCACAAGCGGUGGAUGAUGUGGAUGGUCGAUGCAACGCGAAAAACCUUACCUACCCUUGAAGCACUUCAUCUGGAAUCCCGAAGAGAUUUGAGUGCUCGCAAGAGAACCAGACACAGGUGCUGCAUGGCUGUCGUCAGCUCGUGUCGUGAGAUGUUGAUUAAGUCACAACGAGCGCAACCCUUGUCAUUAGUUGCUACGAAGACACUCUAAUGAGACUGCCGGUGACAAACCGGAGGAAGUCGGGGAUGACGUCAAGUCCUCACAUGGCCCUUAUGGGUAGGGGCUUCACACGUCAUGCAAUGGUCGGGACAGAGGGUCGCCAACCCGCGAGGGAGCCAAUCCCAGAAACCCGAUCGUAGUCCAGGAUCGCGAUCUGCAACUCGACUGCGUGAAGUCGGAAUCGCUAGUAAUCGCGGAUCAGCAUGUCGCAGUGAAUACGUUCCGGUCUUGUACACACCGCCCGUCACCAUGGGAGUGGGUUUUACCAGAAGUAAGUUAGCUAACCGUAGGAGGGCGAUUACCACAGUAGGAUUCAUGACUGGGGUGAAGUCGUAACGAGUAG
rnacentral:rRNA from 1 species